rnacentral:rRNA from 1 species
UACGUAGGGUGCGAGCGUUGCCCGGAUUUAUUGGGCGUAAAGGGCGCGUAGGCGGCUCUGCACGUCCGUUGUGAAAUCGCCCGGCUCAACUGGGCGGGGUCAGCGGAUACGGCAGAGCUCGAGCAAGCUAGGGGGCAAUGGAAUUCCCGGUGUAGUGGUGGAAUGCGUAGAUAUCGGGAGGAACACCUGAGGCGAAGGCGGGUUGCUAGGCUGACACUGACGCUGACAGCGCGAAAGCUAGGGUAGCAAACGGG